CAGCAGCCGCGGUAAUACGAAGGGGGCUAGCGUUGCUCGGAAUGACUGGGCGUAAAGGGCGCGUAGGCGGCUGACACAGUCAGAUGUGAAAUUCCUGGGCUCGACCUGGGGACUGCAUUUGAGACGUGUUGGCUUGAGUGGAGAAGAGGGUCGUGGAAUUUCCAGUGUAGAGGUGAAAUUCGUAGAUAUUGGAAAGAACACCGGUGGCGAAGGCGGCGACCUGGUCUUUAACUGACGCUGAGGCGCGAAAGCGUGGGGAGCAAACAGGAUUAGAUACCCCCGUAGUCCCUGUCUCUUAUAC
rnacentral:rRNA from 1 species